AUUGAACGCUGGCGGCAGGCCUAACACAUGCAAGUCGAGCGGUAGCACAGGGGAGCUUGCUCCCUGGGUGACGAGCGGCGGACGGGUGAGUAAUGUCUGGGAAACUGCCUGAUGGAGGGGGAUAACUACUGGAAACGGUAGCUAAUACCGCAUAACGUCGCAAGACCAAAGAGGGGGACCUUCGGGCCUCUUGCCAUCAGAUGUGCCCAGAUGGGAUUAGCUAGUAGGUGGGGUAAUGGCUCACCUAGGCGACGAUCCCUAGCUGGUCUGAGAGGAUGACCAGCCACACUGGAACUGAGACACGGUCCAGACUCCUACGGGAGGCAGCAGUGGGGAAUAUUGCACAAUGGGCGCAAGCCUGAUGCAGCCAUGCCGCGUGUAUGAAGAAGGCCUUCGGGUUGUAAAGUACUUUCAGCGAGGAGGAAGGUGUUGAGGUUAAUAACCUCAGCAAUUGACGUUACUCGCAGAAGAAGCACCGGCUAACUCCGUGCCAGCAGCCGCGGUAAUAC
rnacentral:rRNA from 1 species